UACGUAGGGGGCAAGCGUUGUCCGGAUUUAUUGGGCGUAAAGGGCACGCAGGCGGUCUCUCAAGUUUCGCGUGACAGGUGGCGGCUCAACUGCCACAGGCCGCAGGAAAACUGGCAGACUUGAGGACGAGAGAGGGAUGCGGAAUUCCAGGUGGAGCGGUGAAAUGCGUAGAGAUCUGGAAGAACACCGAAGGCGAAGGCAGCAUCCUGGCUCGUUUCUGACGCUGAGGUGCGAAAGCUAGGGGAGCGAACGGG
rnacentral:rRNA from 1 species